rnacentral:rRNA from 1 species
UACGUAGGGGGCAAGCGUUGUCCGGAAUCAUUGGGCGUAAAGCGCGCGUAGGCGGCUAGAUCAGUCUGCUGUAAAAGUCAAAGGCUCAACCUUUGAAAGCCGGUGGAUACUGUCUAGCUAGAGUCCGGAAGAGGCGAGUGGAAUUCCUGGUGUAGCGGUGAAAUGCGUAGAUAUCUGGAGGAACACCGGUGGCGAAGGCGGCAUCCUGGACCGGUAUUGACGCUGAGGCGCGAAAGCCAGGGGAGCAAACGGG